AUUGAACGCUGGCGGCAGGCCUAACACAUGCAAGUCGAACGAGUGGCGGACGGGUGAGUAAUGUCUGGGAAACUGCCCGAUGGAGGGGGAUAACUACUGGAAACGGUAGCUAAUACCGCAUACCAUCAGAUGUGCCCAGAUGGGAUUAGCUAGUAGGUGGGGUACCGGCUCACCUAGGCGACGAUCCCUAGCUGGUCUGAGAGGAUGACCAGCCACACUGGAAGUGAUACACGGUCCAUACUCCUACGGGAGGCAACAGUGAGGAAUAUUGGACAAUGGGCGCAAGCCUGAUGCAGCCUUGCCGCGUGUGUGAAGAAGGCCUUCGGGUUGUAUAGCACUUUCAGCGGGGAGGCGUUGCCCGCAGUAGAAGCACCGGCUAACUCCGUGACAGCAGCCGCGGUAAUUC
rnacentral:rRNA from 1 species